AAAAAAGAUGAUCACCGCUGAAACAAUGGCUGAUGUUAUUGAGAAAGCAGAGGAAUACGGGAUCUGCAACUAAUGCAGUGCAAAGGUGUUUCUUGUUGAUUGGACGGAACGUGAAGAAACAGUAUUCGAAGAAGUUGUUGCUCAGCUACCAAUGGACCAGAGGAUUUUCAUUGCUGCAGAAAUUGUGCCACCUGCAAGUCCUCCUGUGCAAGACGUCUCAGAAUCAAACAGUGCACCUGUACGAGAGCCAACCAGUGCCAUCAACAUCCAUGUAUCGACAGAAAAGCUUCCCAAAGACCUUCAGGGCACAUUGAGUACAGCGGCAUCUCCUCUUCACCCUAAACAUCGAAAGGAACUAGUCCGUUGUGUUGUUUACCAAAUGUUAGCUGUGCGCUCUAGGCCAAGAAGAGAACUGAUUAGGAGUGUGGCUGAGGAAAUGGUCAAGGCAUACCCAGCUGCUCUUGAAGAUAGGAGCAUCAAUGGCUCCUUGCUUGGCCGUGGCUAUGACUCAUUGUUUCAACAACUUGAGGCGAGAGUAGGAAAUAUUCAUCGAUGCAAGCGAGGAAUCCCAUCAUCGACUCCUGUGUCGACG